UUAGCCACAACUUACUCAUAUUACCAUUUCAUAGACAAGUUACAUUCAGGCUUAUACAUAUAGCUUUGCCAAUAGCAAAAAAUUAAGAAAAAGAAAAGCUGAGAAGACACUAAAACUAGCACAUAUCCUAUUCUCAUUUUCUUCCUCAUUCUUUCACACUCAAUCAAAUUCUGGUUCUUCAAGCUCAUCACCUCUUCCCAUAACUCAUCAAUCUGACCAUUUAGAUCACCACCAGACUCAUUAGCUCUUUUCAUUGCUUUUAAACUUUUAUUUUCAGAUAAUAGUAGCACUUUCUUCUCUUUAAGCAAAUUGAGCAAAUCCUUUAUCCUGUCACUUAUAGGCUCAUCGUGCCACUCAAAAAAACCACAACUUUUAACUUGUAAUUUACACACAAAAAUUACUCAAAUUUUAUUUUCAAUUUCAUCAUACCCAUUACUCAGUAUCAAGAAGCCUUUUCCUCCGCGUACUUCUGUUGGGAGCAAAUUUGAUCAAUAUAUACUUACUUCAUAAUUUGCGCAUCCAUAAAAUUUUCUUCCUAGAUUGUCAUUUGUCCAUGACGUCUAUCUAGGUGCCUUCACUCUCCAGCCUCUUACUCGACAUCUACAGUAUUUAACCUCACCCUCAUAAUGGAAUUUCAUAUUACUCUUCCUCACUGUUCUUGAUGUUGACGACGAAGAUGAAGA
rnacentral:lncRNA from 1 species